UGCCUCAGUAACGGCGAGUGAAGCGGCAACAGCUCAAAUUUGAAAUCUGGCUCUUUCAGGGUCCGAGUUGUAAUUUGUAGAAGAUGCUUCGGGUGUGGUUCCGGUCUAAGUUCCUUGGAACAGGACGUCAUAGAGGGUGAGAAUCCCGUAUGUGACCGGCUACCUUCGCUCAUGUGAAGCUCUUUCGACGAGUCGAGUUGUUUGGGAAUGCAGCUCAAAAUGGGUGGUAAAUUUCAUCUAAAGCUAAAUAUUGGCCAGAGACCGAUAGCGCACAAGUAGAGUGAUCGAAAGAUGAAAAGCACUUUGGAAAGAGAGUUAAAUAGUACGUGAAAUUGUUGAAAGGGAAGCGCUUGCAAUCAGACUUGCACGCAGUUGAUCAUCCGGUGUUCUCACCGGUGCACUCUGCUGCGUUCAGGCCAGCAUCGGUUCUGGUGGUUGGAUAAAGGCCUUGGGAAUGUGGCUCCUCUCGGGGAGUGUUAUAGCCCUCGGUGCAAUGCAGCCUACCGGGACCGAGGACCGCGCUUCGGCUAGGAUGCUGGCGUAAUGGUUGUAAGCGACCCGUCUUGAAACACGGACCAAGGAGUCUAACAUCUAUGCGAGUGUUUGGGUGUCAAACCCAUACGCGUAAUGAAAGUGAACGGAGGUGAGAACCCUUAAGGGUGCAUCAUCGACCGAUCCUGAUGUCUUCGGAUGGAUUUGAGUAAGAGCAUAGCUGUUGGGACCCGAAAGAUGGUGAACUAUGCGUGAAUAGGGUGAAGCCAGAGGAAACUCUGGUGGAGGCUCGCAGCGGUUCUGACGUGCAAAUCGAUCGUCAAAUUGCGCAUUAGGGGCGAAAGACUAAUCGAACCAUCUAGU
rnacentral:rRNA from 1 species